ACUAAGGUUUCCUGGGGAAGGCUCGUCCUCCCAGGGUUAGUCGGGACCUAAGCUGAGGCCGAUAGGCGUAGGCGAUGGACAACAGGUUGAUAUUCCUGUACCAGUUGCUUUUGUUUGAGCGAUGGAGGGACGCAGGAGGCUAAGGAAUGCACACGAUCGGAAAUGUGUGUCCAAGCAGCAAGUCUGAGAACGAGUGAAAUGCUUUUUCUCUCAAGGACAAGCUGUGAUGGGGAGCGAAAUUUAGUAGCGAAGUUCCUGAUGUCACACUGCCAAGAAAAGCUUCUAGUGAGAAAGUAACUGCCCGUACCGCAAACCGACACAGGUAGUUGAGGAGAGAAUCCUAAGGUGUGCGAGAGAACUCUCGUUAAGGAACUCGGCAAAAUGACCCCGUAACUUCGGGAGAAGGGGUGCUGACCGCAAGGUCAGCCGCAGUGAAUAGGCCCAAGCGACUGUUUAUCAAAAACACAGGUCUCUGCAAAAUCGAAAGAUGACGUAUAGGGGCUGACGCCUGCCCGGUGCUGGAAGGUUAAGAGGAGAGGUUAGCGCAAGCGAAGCUUUGAAUUGAAGCCCCAGUAAACGCCGGCCGUAACUAUAACGGUCCUAAGGUAGCGAAAUUCCUUGUCGGGUAAGUUCCGACCCGCACGAAAGGCGUAACGAUUUGGGCACUGUCUCAACGAGAGACUCGGUGAAAUUAUAGUACCAGUGAAGAUGCUGGUUUCCCGCGACAGGACGGAAGACCCCAUGGAGCUUUACUGCAGUUUGAUAUUGCGUGUUUGUAUCACAUGUACAGGAUAGGUAGGAGCCGAAGAUACCGGGACGCCAGUCUCGGAGGAGGCAACGGUGGGAUACUACCCUUGUGAUAUGACCACUCUAACCCGCUGCUCUUAGCGAGCAGGGAGACAGUGUCAGACGGGCAGUUUGACUGGGGCGGUCGCCUCCAAAAAUGUAACGGAGGCGCCCAAAGGUUCCCUCAGAAUGGUUGGAAAUCAUUCGUAGAGUGUAAAGGCAGAAGGGAGCUUGACUGCGAGACCUACAAGUCGAGCAGGGACGAAAGUCGGGCUUAGUGAUCCGGUGGUUCCGCAUGGAAGGGCCAUCGCUCAACGGAUAAAAGCUACCCUGGGGAUAACAGGCUUAUCUCCCCCAAGAGUUCACAUCGACGGGGAGGUUUGGCACCUCGAUGUCGGCUCAUCGCAUCCUGGGGCUGUAGUCGGUCCCAAGGGUUGGGCUGUUCGCCCAUUAAAGCGGUACGCGAGCUGGGUUCAGAACGUCGUGAGACAGUUCGGUCCCUAUCCGUCGCGGGCGUUGGAAAUUUGAGAGGAGCUGUCCUUAGUACGAGAGGACCGGGAUGGACACACCGCUGGUGUACCAGUUGUUCUGCCAAGAGCAUCGCUGGGUAGCUAUGUGUGGACGGGAUAAACGCUGAAAGCAUCUAAGCGUGAAGCCCCCCUCAAGAUGAGAUUUCCCAUCACUUUAAGUGAGUAAGACCCCUGAGAGAUGAUCAGGUAGAUAGGUUGGGAGUGGAAGUACAGCGAUGUAUGGAGCGGACCAAUACUAAUCGGUCGAGGACUUAAUC
rnacentral:rRNA from 1 species